rnacentral:rRNA from 2 species
UUUGGUUAAGUUAGAAAGGGCGCACGGUGGAUGCCUUGACACUAGGAGUCGAUGAAGGACGGGACUAACGCCGAUAUGCUUCGGGGAGCUGUAAGUAAGCUUUGAUCCGAAGAUUUCCGAAUGGGGAAACCCACCAUACGUAAUGGUAUGGUAUCCUUAUCUGAAUACAUAGGGUAAGGAAGACAGACCCAGGGAACUGAAACAUCUAAGUACCUGGAGGAAGAGAAAGCAAAUGCGAUUUCCUGAGUAGCGGCGAGCGAAACGGAACAUAGCCCAAACCAAGAGGCUUGCCUCUUGGGGUUGUAGGACAUUCUAUACGGAGUUACAAAGGAACGAGGUAGACGAAGCGACCUGGAAAGGUCCGUCGUAGAGGGUAACAACCCCGUAGUCGAAACUUCGUUCUCUCUUGAAUGUAUCCUGAGUACGGCGGAACACGUGAAAUUCCGUCGGAAUCUGGGAGGACCAUCUCCCAAGGCUAAAUACUCCCUAGUGAUCGAUAGUGAACCAGUACCGUGAGGGAAAGGUGAAAAGCACCCCGGAAGGGGAGUGAAAGAGAUCCUGAAACCGUGUGCCUACAAAUAGUCAGAGCCCGUUAACGGGUGAUGGCGUGCCUUUUGUAGAAUGAACCGGCGAGUUACGAUCCCGUGCAAGGUUAAGCUGAAGAGGCGGAGCCGCAGCGAAAGCGAGUCUGAAUAGGGCGUUUAGUACGUGGUCGUAGACCCGAAACCAGGUGAUCUACCCAUGUCCAGGGUGAAGUUCAGGUAACACUGAAUGGAGGCCCGAACCCACGCACGUUGAAAAGUGCGGGGAUGAGGUGUGGGUAGCGGAGAAAUUCCAAUCGAACCUGGAGAUAGCUGGUUCUCCCCGAAAUAGCUUUAGGGCUAGCCUUAAGUGUAAGAGUCUUGGAGGUAGAGCACUGAUUGGACUAGGGGUCCUCAUCGGAUUACCGAAUUCAGUCAAACUCCGAAUGCCAAUGACUUAUCCUUAGGAGUCAGACUGCGAGUGAUAAGAUCCGUAGUCAAAAGGGAAACAGCCCAGACCGCCAGCUAAGGUCCCAAAGUGUGUAUUAAGUGGAAAAGGAUGUGGAGUUGCUUAGACAACUAGGAUGUUGGCUUAGAAGCAGCCACCAUUUAAAGAGUGCGUAAUAGCUCACUAGUCGAGUGACUCUGCGCCGAAAAUGUACCGGGGCUAAAUACACCACCGAAGCUGCGGAUUGAUACCAAUGGUAUCAGUGGUAGGGGAGCGUUCUAAGGACAGUGAAGUCAGACCGUAAGGACUGGUGGAGUGCUUAGAAGUGAGAAUGCCGGUAUGAGUAGCGAAAGACGGGUGAGAAUCCCGUCCACCGAAUGCCUAAGGUUUCCUGAGGAAGGCUCGUCCGCUCAGGGUUAGUCAGGACCUAAGCCGAGGCCGACAGGCGUAGGCGAUGGACAACAGGUUGAUAUUCCUGUACCACCUCUUUAUCGUUUGAGCAAUGGAGGGACGCAGAAGGAUAGAAGAAGCGUGCGAUUGGUUGUGCACGUCCAAGCAGUUAGGCUGAUAAGUAGGCAAAUCCGCUUAUCGUGAAGGCUGAGCUGUGAUGGGGAAGCUCCUUAUGGAGCGAAGUCUUUGAUUCCCCGCUGCCAAGAAAAGCUUCUAGCGAGAUAAAAGGUGCCUGUACCGCAAACCGACACAGGUAGGCGAGGAGAGAAUCCUAAGGUGUGCGAGAGAACUCUGGUUAAGGAACUCGGCAAAAUGACCCCGUAACUUCGGGAGAAGGGGUGCUUUCUUAACGGAAAGCCGCAGUGAAUAGGCCCAAGCGACUGUUUAGCAAAAACACAGCUCUCUGCGAAGCCGUAAGGCGAAGUAUAGGGGGUGACACCUGCCCGGUGCUGGAAGGUUAAGGAGAGGGGUUAGCGUAAGCGAAGCUCUGAACUGAAGCCCCAGUAAACGGCGGCCGUAACUAUAACGGUCCUAAGGUAGCGAAAUUCCUUGUCGGGUAAGUUCCGACCCGCACGAAAGGUGUAACGAUUUGGGCACUGUCUCAACCAGAGACUCGGUGAAAUUAUAGUACCUGUGAAGAUGCAGGUUACCCGCGACAGGACGGAAAGACCCCGUGGAGCUUUACUGUAGCCUGAUAUUGAAUUUUGGUACAGUUUGUACAGGAUAGGCGGGAGCCAUUGAAACCGGAGCGCUAGCUUCGGUGGAGGCGCUGGUGGGAUACCGCCCUGACUGUAUUGAAAUUCUAACCUACGGGUCUUAUCGACCCGGGAGACAGUGUCAGGUGGGCAGUUUGACUGGGGCGGUCGCCUCCUAAAGUGUAACGGAGGCGCCCAAAGGUUCCCUCAGAAUGGUUGGAAAUCAUUCGUAGAGUGCAAAGGCAUAAGGGAGCUUGACUGCGAGACCUACAAGUCGAGCAGGGACGAAAGUCGGGCUUAGUGAUCCGGUGGUUCCGCAUGGAAGGGCCAUCGCUCAACGGAUAAAAGCUACCCCGGGGAUAACAGGCUUAUCUCCCCCAAGAGUCCACAUCGACGGGGAGGUUUGGCACCUCGAUGUCGGCUCAUCGCAUCCUGGGGCUGUAGUCGGUCCCAAGGGUUGGGCUGUUCGCCCAUUAAAGCGGUACGCGAGCUGGGUUCAGAACGUCGUGAGACAGUUCGGUCCCUAUCCGUCGUGGGCGUAGGAAAUUUGAGAGGAGCUGUCCUUAGUACGAGAGGACCGGGAUGGACGCACCGCUGGUGUACCAGUUGUUCUGCCAAGGGCAUAGCUGGGUAGCUAUGUGCGGAAGGGAUAAGUGCUGAAAGCAUCUAAGCAUGAAGCCCCCCUCAAGAUGAGAUUUCCCAUAGCGUAAGCUAGUAAGAUCCCUGAAAGAUGAUCAGGUUGAUAGGUUCGAGGUGGAAGCAUGGUGACAUGUGGAGCUGACGAAUACUAAUAGAUCGAGGACUUAACCAUAUAA